ACAGGGCUGGCACAGGUGGCCACUGCCCUGGGAUCACCCAGCUGUGUCCGGCAGCCUGAACCCCAUCUGCGGGGAUGUGAGGAGGAAAAUACAAAAGUCUUUAGGUGAGCACUGAGAAGGCAGAUGCAGCAGAAACCUCCAGGCCAUAACUACCCAGUCUUGGACCUAUGGUGGAGACAGAGCAUAGCUGGCGAUCGUGUGUACUUAUACUCUAGGGUCACCAGGCUGCACUAUGGCCUCAUCUGUGGCUCUGAAAAUGAAGAUUUGGAAGGAGAUCAUCACAGCUAAUGUUUAACAAGCCCCUCCUAUGUGCCAAAUCAUUCACCCCUCGCAACAACCGAAAGAGCUAAGGAUUCUCAUUAUAUAUAGUUUAUGGAGAAGGAAGUGCAGACAUAAAGAGGUGAAUUAUCUUACCCAGGUCACACAGCUAAUAAGUGGUGGAGGCAGAAUAGAAUCUAAACAGUGUGGCUCCGGAGCCCACAUGCAUUGAUUUGACAAGUGUUUAUUGAGCACCUGCCAUGGACAAGGCCUUGUGUGAUUAAAUAGGGUUAUAAUUAAUAAUAUAAAAAUGACAAGUCACUAAUGCUUUUUAGACUUAACAUUUUCUUUUUUUGUAGGUUUCAGGCACAGAACUGUAUAUCCAAUAAUAGUGAAAUGGAUCCCACUAAUUAUGACAGAAAUGAUGAUACAUUUAAAUGACUUGAAUGUUUUAUAGGUAUGAUCUCGUGAAACCUUGAGAGAAACUGAAUGACGAAUGAAACUAUUGUUCCUGUUCCACACAGAAGAAAACUGAGAUGGUGAAGCUCUCUAUUGUCCUGACCCCACAGUUCCUGUCCCAUGACCAGGACCAGCUCACCAAGGAGCUGUAGCAGCACGUAAAGUCAGUGACAUGCCCAUGCGAGUACCUGAGGAAGGUUUUGUCGCCAAGAGUGACCUUGAGGAACCCUGGGAGCUCAGGAAGGAAGGAGCACCCAGAAGCAGGGACAGGGAGCUGGUUGGGGAGGACAAGAAAUCAGGUUAUCCAUUCUCUGCAUGACCAUUUUCAUCCUGGGACUGACUUUUGUGGAAUUCCGUGGAUA